rnacentral:rRNA from 1 species
GAUGAACGCUGGCGGAGUGCCUAAUACAUGCAAGUCGAGCGAAGCGGGGACGGGUGAGUAAAACGUGGAUAACCUCCUAUAAGACUGGGAUAACUUCGGGACACAGGAGACAAACCGGAUCCUUAUAGAUGGAUCCGCGCUGCAUGAGCUAGUUGGUAAGGUAACGGCUUACAAAGGCAACGAUGCAUAGCCGACCUGCGAGGUGUAGCGGCCACACGGGAACUGAGCCACGGUCCAGACUCAUACGGGAGGCAGCAGUAGGGAAUCUUCCGCAAUGGGCGAAAGCCUGACGGAGCAACGCCGCGUGAGUGAUGAAGGUCUUCGGAUCGUAAAACUCUGUUAUUAGGGAAGCGGUACCUAAUCAGAAAGCCACGGCUAACUACGUGCCAGCAGCCGCGGUAAUAC